rnacentral:lncRNA from 1 species
UGGUUAUAUUUUUCUUUUGGACUAUACUUUUGUUGGAUAUUUAAGCAUGGAUGCGGUUUUAUUAGAGAGACCUACCAAUAAACAUGUCAGAUAGAGCAACGUUUCAGGAGGAAGCAAGCGAAGUAGAAAAUCUUCCAAUCGAUUUGGUAUGAACAGCAAUGAACAUGAACGUCCAGGAAACUCAAAUGGAGAAGCUUGUAUCAUGACAGAAAUAGAAAUAUGAACGCAAAUUUGGUAGACAAAAGGUAGUCAUCGAACAAAUCUACCAGAGAUUGAUGAUUUGGAUGAUAAAAUGAUCAUCAAGUGACCCAUAUAGAUUUGAUCAGGAAAACUAUAGCAUGCACAAAAAUUAUAAUACUGGCCGAUAUUUGUUAUAUUUACAAAAUAUCUUAAAGUUGUGUUAUAAUUUCAAAUUAUAUUUUUCUGGUUCUACUAUUUGCUAUAGUUUUCGUAAUUAUUUUUGUGCAUUAUGCAAACAAACCCUAGUAUAUGGGCCCAUACAUAAGUUUAUCGUAUAGGCAUUUAAAUUGGCCAUAUCAAUUGGAGCAUCAUAUUUUACAUGCAUAUUUAUUUUUGAGAAUCAACAUUCAUAAAAGAAAACAUAAAACUAGUUUUUACUGAAAAAAAGAAGGUAAAACUAGACAAGAAGUGGGAAAGCUCUCAAAGGAGAAGCCAUUUCAAGAGUGAGUCCAUACUUUUCAUCCAUAUUCAAAUCAUCAGGUCGAAAACCAUCUUCAAGCUUCCAAUCAAAGAAAUGAAGAAGCGAACCCAGCAUCAAAGGCAACAUUCUCAUAGCCAAUGACAAUUCAGGGCAAAUCCUUCUUCCACCACCAAAUGGAACCAACUCAAAAUCUCUGCCUUUAAUAUCAAUUUCCAUCUCUAAGAACCUCUCUGGCUCGAAUAUUUCAGGAUUUUUCCAUACGUUCGAAUCUCGACCCAUCGCCCAUAAAUUUACCGGCACUUGAGCGUCUUUAGGGAUUGUGAAACCUGAUAUUUCGACGUCUUGUAAUGCUUUACGAGGUAGUAGAAAAGGAGGGGAAUGACAUCUCAAAGUUUCUUUGAUCACUGCUUGUAAAUAAGGUAGCCUUGAAAUGUCUGAUUCUCUAAUUGGGUUUCAUUUUCCUAUUACACUUCGGAUUUAUUGUUGAGCUUUUGAUAGCUUUUGUGGGUUUUUAAAUAGUUCUGCCAUUGCCCAUUGGAAUGUUGCAGAACUUGUGUCGGUUCCAGCAAUGAAUAGUACCUAUAGAACAACAAUCAAAUCUUUAAUAAUAAAAAAAAAAAAAACAGAAUGCGCAGUUAUUAAAAUUCUGAUUGAAGUAAUUCAGAAAUAAUCUACUAGAAACUUAGGAAAUAAAUGUGUGUGAAUUAAUACAGAACAAUUAUUGCUAGGAUUAUAGAAAAAUACAACAUGAAUGCGUACUUGGUUAUUCACAUGUCCCUUCAUGUCAAUGUUUAAGUCUUCAUAGUACAUUAUUUAUUUUCCUUUCUAUGAUUUGUUUUUCUGUCCAACCACAGAAAAGGAAGAGAAAAUCAAAGGGCCAAUAAUUGAGUGAUGCAACUCAGUUCAACUAUCCAACAAAAAUAAUAAUUUUGGAAAAAGUAGAAGAAAUAUUAUUUGUUACAUGAAAACUAUGUGGUCGAAGGCUGAAAACUAAGAUAAUAGAUGCGAUUCAACAUCAACAAUGUAUUUUCUUCCACCAGUUGUCUAAUAAAAAUCUGUCCUGCACUAAAAUAAAUUUUUAAAAGAAAAAUGUUAAAAAUAGAAAAUUAACAAAUAUUUAUAUUCUAUGAGAAAUUCAAAUAAAAUAAAUUUUGUUUUUAGUGGUUUUUGUUAAGUAUGGAUAAAUAGUUUUUUUUUCUAUAUAAAAAUAAGUUUUUAUUGUUAUUAUUAUCGUCAUCGUGAAAAAUAGCAAAAAAGAAAAUUACGAAAAUAAAGUUCAUGUUAUUUACAUUUUUAAAAUUAUAAAAAUAAUAAAUUUAAAAUAGAUUAUCAUAUAAUUAUAGUGUCAAAUUUGCUGUAUGAAAAAAAAAAAAUUGUGGAAGAAUGAUUUUAAAUUUUCAAAAUGAUUUUAAAUAAUUUAUUUGAUUAGAUUGGAAAGGAAUGUAUUUAAAAUUUAUGUUUAUGGAUAGUAAUGGAAGAGGAAGAGAAAGAGAAAGUUAAUAAUUCACCGCCAUACAUUUUUAUCAUGGAAUAUGUUAAUGAAAAAUUUUAACAAUGAUAGUCAAUUAAUUAGGUAAUUUACUUUGAAAACCUAUGAAAUUUGGCAAAAUGGACCAUUUUGACCUCAAAAAGUUUUUAAGUAAAAAUAGGAUUUAAAAUCAUUCUAGAUUUGAAAAUCAUACUCUUUGGAUGCACUGCUCUCCUUUUUCACAAGCUAAAAUAUUAAGAAAAAAAAAAUAACACAUGGCAAAUUGUGGCCAAAGAGACUUAAUUGGGGGCAAAACUAUUUUUUAAACCCAAUUAGUGAAGUAAAAAUUGUGACUCUCUUAUUUUUGUACCUAAAUCCAACAAUCAUAGUUUAUAACAUGAUAAAUUUUUCUUACAUUUUCUAUUUUAAAAUAUUUUAAUUCAUAGUAAUUUAUCAUACUUACAAAUGUAUUGUGAAAAUUUAGUAUAUUUUUAAAUAUUGAUAUUUUUAAAAUUUUUAGUUUAUGUUGUUAACCUAAAUUUAAUUCUUAAAAGAACUGUUUAUAGGUUGUAAAUUAACAAUUCCAAACUUUAAAACGAAGAAUAAAUGCUUGAAACUAUGUUUCCCCCCUAAAAUGAUGUUAAAAGUUUGACUCUUAACAACAAAUUAAAAAUAAUGACAAUAAUAAAAGAAAAAGGAGUUGAAGUAGAUACCGCUAAUAAGUGUUCGAACUCAAUUCUCCCCAACUUGAUUUCGCUAUUUUCAUCACCAGGAUUGAGAAGAUAAUGCAAUAAAUCAUGUUUAAUCUUAUUAGAACCACAACUUUUUUUCUGCUCAUCAAUCCGUUCAUCAAUCAUCUGCUCCAACACAUCAAAAAUCCUAUCAAAAUGAACACUCUGUUUCUUCUUAAUCCCCUGCACAUCAAAUCUCUUCAACAAUGCAAAAUAAUCUCCAAAAUUCGGUUUCGCAGCUUCUUCCAUAGCCCCUCUUACAGCCACUUUAAACUCUCUCCCUAUUUUCGAAUUCGGGUCCACAAAAUCCUCCGAAAAAAUGGUAUUCCAAAGCAAAUUCACCGAAGUCACAAACGCCACUUUUCCAAAAUCCACUGUUUCAUUACCUUUCAAAGCACAUCUAGAUAUCUCUGUCACCAGCUCUGCCACUUGGCCUCGUCUGAGGUUCUCGUUGGCGUCGAGAAUCCGGGCAGCGAACAACUGGGUGUUGCAAAUUCGUCUGAGGUUUCGCCAGAGAGGUGAAACGGGCAUCCAUGGGAGGCCGAAAAGAUCGUGGUUGUGAGUGGUCAUGGAGUCAGGGACGGUUCUGGAGGAGAGAAAUUGGUCGUGGGUUUGGAGGACUUGUUUGGCCAUGGCGGAGGAGGAAAUGACGACGGUGGUGAUUUGGCCGAGUUUCAAGGUCAUGAUCGGGCCAUAGGAUUUGGCGAGAUUGGCUAGGGAUUGGUGGGGUUUAUCGCCGAGAGCAAGAAGGUUGCCGAUGAGUGGCAAUGGCUUUGGGCCGGGAGGGAGGUUGGUAAUUGGUCUUGUUUUUGAGAUCAUUGAAAUUAGCCAUGCAAUGGAAAGUAGAACAAUGAAGAUCCCCAACAAAUCCAUCUCUUACUACUCUUAUGAAUGGAAAUGAAGCAAUGUAAGCUUCAACUUUUGAUUAUAUAUGUAGGGAAAUUCUUUUUAACUUUUUAACAGGUAGAAUAAGUUUUGGAUUAGACAAAAUCACUUUUAUUUUCUUGUCAAAAUUUUUUUUUUUUUUUAAAGGAUACAUGUUUGACUUGUAAACGAUGCAUAAUUGUUAUUCACAUGGCUCCCAAAAUGGUUAUAAGUGACAAGUAUGGAAGGGUAUUUUUUUAUUAAAUUUAGGAGAAUAAAUACGUAAUAUAAACCGUAGGCAGGUAGAAGUUGUAGGAUUGAGAUGAUUUGUGUAUAAUCCUCCUCAAGGUAAUCUCAAUAUAACUUAAGUGAAAAUAUGCAAUACCUGUCUACAAAGUAGGAGGAUAAAGAAAUGUAUAUGAAUAUUAGAAAGUAAAAUGAUUUUCUCUUCCAUUGAUAUCUGAAUAUGAUGGAAAUUUGCCACCAUAAUUGUAUCUACUUUUUGAAACUUACUUACUUUAGUCACACAUGGAAAUAAAAUAAUAUAUAAUCUAAAAAGAAAAAAAAAAAGUGGAACCAUAACAAAAUAGCUACUCCUAUUUCUAAAACAAUAAAUACAACUUAAAAUGCAUUUAAAAUUGUGUGGAACGGAGAAAGGUCGAGAAGAAAAUUGUGGUUCAACCAUAAAAUGAAAUUAAAUGAUCUGACAAAAAUAUUUAUUAUCUUCUCUUUUGUCAUUUCAUUUUAUAUUUGUUACACAUUGAAUUUUCAACAACCAUAAUUGAAGUUACAUUGUAGAUUUCGAUUCAAUAAAUUAGUGAGAUGUAUAAAUAAUUUCUUUACCGGGUAGAUUUUAACCGUUGGAGCAAGUACGAUUAAUCGAAGAAUCGUGGCGGUUGCCAAGCUUGGAAGUGGGAAAGAAUAUGAAGGCGCAUCUCUUUACCAACCAAAUUACUUUCCUAAUUAAAGUUGUGUUAUAUUUUCAAAUUAUUUUAAUUCCGGUUCUACUAUUUGCUAUAGUUUUCCUAAUUACUUUUGUGCAUGAUGUAAACAGACCCUAGAAUAUGGCCCCUAGAUAAGUUUAUCAUAUAGUCUUUUGAGUGAAGCAUAUAUAUUUAUUUUUGAGAAUCAACAUUCAUAAAAGAAAACAUAAAACUAGUUUUUACUCAUGAAAAGGAAGGUAAAACUAGACAAGAAGUGGGAAAGCUCUCAAAGGAGAAGCCAUUGCAAGAGUGAUUCCAUACUUUUCAUCCAUAUUCAAAUCAUCAGGUCGACAACCAUCUUCAAGCUUCCAAUCAAAGAAAUGAAGAAGCGAACCCAACAUCAAAGGCAACAUUCUCAUAGCCAAUGGCAAUCCAGGGCAAAUCCUUCUUCCACCACCAAAUGGAACCAACUCAAAAUCUCUGCCUUUAAUGUCAAUGUCCAUCUCUAAGAAUCUCUCUGGCUCGAAUAUUUCAGGAUUUUUCCAUACGUUCGAAUCUCGACUCAUCGCCCAUAAAUUUACCAGCACUUGAGCGUCUUUAGGGAUUGUGAAACUUGAUAUUUCGACGUCUUGUAAUGCUUUACGAGGUAGUAGAAAAGGAGGGGAAUGAUAUCUUAAAGUUUCUUUAAUCACUGCUUGUAAAUAAGGUAGCCUUGAAAUGUCUGAUUCUUUAAUUGGGUUUCCUUUCCCUAUUACACUUCGGAUUUCUUGUUGAGCUUUUGAUAGUUUUUGUGGGUUUCUUAAU